AACGAACGCUGGCGGCAGGCUUAACACAUGCAAGUCGAACGCACCUUUCGGGGUGAGUGGCAGACGGGUGAGUAACGCGUGGGAAUCUACCCUUCUCUACGGGAUAGCUCCGGGAAACUGGAAUUAAUACCGUAUACGUCCUGAGGGAGAAAGAUUUAUCGGGGAAGGAUGAGCCCGCGUUGGAUUAGCUAGUUGGUGGGGUAAAGGCCUACCAAGGCGACGAUCCAUAGCUGGUCUAAGAGGAUGAUCAGCCACAUUGGGACUGAGACACGGCCCAAACUCCUACGGGAGGCAGCAGUGGGGAAUAUUGGACAAUGGGGGCAAGCCUGAUCCAGCCAUGCCGCGUGAGUGAUGAAGGCCCUAGGGUUGUAAAGCUCUUUUAGUGGGGACGAUAAUGACGGUACCCACAGAAGAAGCCCCGGCUAACUUCGUG
rnacentral:rRNA from 1 species